AACGAACGCUGGCGGCAGGCCUAACACAUGCAAGUCGAACGUGAAGCCACCUUCGGGUGGUGGAAAGUGGCAGACGGGUGAGUAACGCGUGGGAACGUGCCUUUCGGUUCGGGAUAACCCAGGGAAACUUGGGCUAAUACCGGAUACGCCCUCCGGGGGAAAGAUUCAUUGCCGAAAGAUUGGCCCGCGUCGGAUUAGCUAGUUGGUGGGGUAAAAGCCUACCAAGGCGACGAUCCGUAGCUGGUCUGAGAGGAUGACCAGCCACACUGGACUGAGACACGGCCCAGACUCCUACGGGAGGCAGCAGUGGGGAAUAUUGGACAAUGGGCGCAAGCCUGAUCCAGCCAUGCCGCGUGGGUGAAGAAGGCCCUAGGGUUGUAAACCCCUUUCAGCGGGGAAGAUAAUGACGGUACCCGCAGAAGAAGCCCCGGCUAACUCCGUGCCAGCAGCCGCGGUAACAC
rnacentral:rRNA from 1 species